AUGGCUUACGAUUUCUCACUGCAGCUGCCCGAUUUCCAUCCAGUUCACUGCAAAGCGAAGGAGUUUAUUUCAGAAAGGACCCAGGCAAAAGAGGCGUCUGGAGAUGUUUUGCUGGAUGGAGUUACAGAAAAACUGGGCUCAGGGUAUCAUUCCAGGAAAUGACCUUCUGAGCUCCGAGGCACGAGAUAUUUACAAAUAGCCCAGAACACUACAGAGGCGAGGCGGCCAGGAGGACGCAGGGGGUGUGACGGGCCGCGGAGGAUAGAUGUUCCAGAGGCUUCUGUGGGAAGGCUCUCGGGAAUCCGCGAGUGCCCUUGAGGGGCUGUCCGGGAGCCGGGGGCCGAUCGCGGCAGGCAGCGACUGUUACCGCACCG
rnacentral:lncRNA from 1 species